GAUAACCGUCAAUGAACCCACGUACAAAUAGUGGCCCAAUAAACCGCAUCGCACCAUUCUCACAUUUCAAUCCGCAUCAUUCUAAAACGUUGUCCAUUUAUUUUGAUUUACGAAUUUCUUUCACCGCGACGACGCACGUUGUCCGAACCAGUUAGCAGUUCGGCUGGUUGAAGAUUGAUAUUAGCAGCUCACAUGCCUGUCCGAUGUGGCAUGGCACGCCCUGGUAAGAUGGCGGGAGAACGAUGCAGUAGCGCACGUUGUUUGCCAUUGAGAGCAUUAAGUAGCGCUAAUGUUUGAAAUUAAGUGACUCAGUACAUGCGCGCCUCGAGACAUGGAGACGUUAUGGAAAUGGGAAACGAACACAAUUGUCACGAUAGCAUAAUUGAUUGAGCAUGUUUAGGAUGUUACGGUAGCUCGGGCGCUUUCAAACGAGAACGUGACCAACAUAAUUGAAAGAACAUUAGAAAAAAGAACAAAAUAAGGAAAUAAACUAAACAAACAAUCUUGUCAGCAAAUCUGAACAAAACGCAUCCUACUGUCAAUCUCGGGUUAAUCUUGUUCUCGAAAGUUCCCCUAGACACGACGCAAAUCGAAUGGAGAUUUCAAUUUAAAUGAUAAAGCAGCAAUUUAGCGUCGGCAGCGCCAGACCAAGGGUCUGGGCUAAAUCCAAUCAGCUGACCGUCUCGUGGUGGAAGCAGCGUGCUCCAUCCCUAAACUCCACAGUGAUCUUGCUCCGUUUAGCAUUGUCCUAAGUUUACCGAGUGAGUAAAGCCUGAGGGACUGGCGUAAGGUGUGAUUUUGACUGCCAUUCAAUGUUUCAACGGCAACCGUAAGUCGAGUGGCAAGCGCGGACAGGCGGCAUGACGAAGCGUAAGAAAAGGCACUCAUAAUUCUAGCGACGAGCAACGAUCGUCCAUCCCCCUUGCGCUUCGCCUGUGACGUGCGUAAUCGAGCUCGAUCGAGGGGACGCUUUGCGCGAAGGAGGCGCAGAACAGGGAAGCUCAAUUGUGCAAAAGACUCGCGGCCGCACUCAGUACGCGUUCGAUUAUCGCACCGAGUGAAGCGUCGCACAACGUUCACAACUUGCGCGUCGUGUGGUUUUGGGCGAUUCCAUUCGUCGGUGACACGAAACGUGCUCUGUUUGUAACUGUCUGUUGAUAUUAGAGUAUCCUGAACACAGUAGAACAAUGGCCACGAUUGGAAGCCGAAUCGUGCUAGUGCUGUUUUGUUUCGUGCUGGGGAAUUUCGUACUGUUUCACGAUCGUGAGCGGAUCGUUCUCGCGCAGUACAUCGAAGAUGAAACGUCAUUACGCGGGCUCGACUUUCUUGGUGAUUCGCCCAAAGGACUUUUUGGACGAUGGCACUCCGAGAAGCAAUAUUUGAGACGCUUGCAUCUCGAUCGUACGGGCGAAUGAUCGAUGACCUUGAAAUGCAACCGUCUCUCUAGUGCUUCUAUCAAUCGAAAGCAGGUUUAUCGAAUACUCAGGACAAUUGAAAUUCGAUCUGGUGUUAUAAUCCGUGUCAUUGACUUGGCGAUGGUUUGGAACGGUUUGUUGACCGUUGCAAUCGAUGUCACACGCUGUUGGCAAGUUUUACCGUUUAAUUGGAAAGGUCAAUGUUUGUUUGGUGGUGUAUUUUGGCGGGGCUGCCAAGCAAACAGAAAAUUGGGAAUGCUGAAUAUUUCACCCGUUUCACACUUGGAUUCUUUAAGGAUUUAAGAAACAAAACCAUACACUAUAUCAUUUAGCAAUGUUUGCCUAACGCUUCAAAGUCAGUGUAUUGACCGUUUAGAGGUCACAAAGAGACGUUCAGAUUAAAAAAAAGUGCUACUUCAGUUUUGGAACUCCAUACUAGAGGGUAGCCACACAAGCUCAACACUCAUCAUUGGUACAAGAAGUACUCAUUCGUUCAGUGAAAAAAAAACAAACCUCACACACUUUUUUCUCCACCGUUUAUCGACGAGCAGCAAUUACGCGCAUCCAUUGUUCUGGUGUCUCGUGCUGUUCGUACAAAGUUGGGCUAUGCUGUGACGCGCAAAAAGAACCUCGUCUUAUUGAGCAUACUUCACGCAAAGGGUUGAAACGUUCGUUUCGGUAUAAUUUUGUGCCCAUCAAUAAUGGACACUCAUGCUCUGACGUCAGAAUGUGCUUCGAGUUCAGUUCGAAUUAUCCGUGUAGGUUUAAAAUGAUAGAUAGGGAGUUGUCGAUCGUUACGGGUGUUUCUUUGGUUUUGUUGCCAGAGCGGAAAUACUUAUGUUGGACCAUAUGUUUAAUCUAUUUUCAGGGAUGAAUUACCUUAGGACAAAGCCAUCCAGGAGUGUUGCAAGUUAUCAACGAAAGAAAUUAAAUAUAAUUAGCUUUAGGUUGUACUGUCGAAGUGUGUGUGUUAUAUGAUGAAGAUAUGAAUAUUGUUUAAAACUCAUAAUUGAAGUUUAAUAAAAAGUAAUAUUUGUAAAAAUCUA